rnacentral:rRNA from 1 species
CCUACGUGUGGCAGCAGUGGGGAAUAUUGGACAAUGGGCGCAAGCCUGACCCAGCAACGCCGCGUGAAGGAAGAAGGCUUUCGGGUUGUAAACUUCUUUUCUCAGGGACGAAGCAAGUGACGGUACUUGAGGAAUAAGCCACGGCUAACUGCGUGCCAGCAGCCGCGGUAAUACGUAGGUGGCAAGCGUUAUCCGGAUUUACUGGGUGUAAAGGGCGUGUAGGCGGGGACGCAAGUCAGAUGUGAAAACCACGGGCUCAACCUGGGGCCUGCAUUUGAAACUGUGUUUCUUGAGUACUGUAGAGGCAGACGGAAUUCCUAGUGUAGCGGUGAAAUGCGUAGAUAUUAGGAGGAACACCAGUGGCGAAGGCGGUCUGCUGGACAGCAACUGACGCUGAGGCGCGAAAGCGUGGGGAGCAAACAGGAUUAGAUACCCGUGUAGUC